AAGAAAGUGACAGAGAGGUUAUGUGUCCGGCUUGAAACCGGUUUAUGGAGGUUCGAGUCCUUCCUUUCUCG
rnacentral:tRNA from 1 species